rnacentral:rRNA from 1 species
UGGGGAAUUUUGGACAAUGGGGGAAACCCUGAUCCAGCCAUCCCGCGUGUGCGAUGAAGGCCUUCGGGUUGUAAAGCACUUUUGGCAGGAAAGAAACGUCAUGGGUUAAUACCCCGUGAAACUGACGGUACCUGCAGAAUAAGCACCGGCUAACUACGUGCCAGCAGCCGCGGUAAUACGUAGGGUGCAAGCGUUAAUCGGAAUUACUGGGCGUAAAGCGUGCGCAGGCGGUUCGGAAAGAAAGAUGUGAAAUCCCAGAGCUCAAGUUUGGAACUGCAUUAUUAACUACCGGGCUAGAGUGUGUCAGAGGGAGGUGGAAUUCCGCGUGUAGCAGUGAAAUGCGUAGAUAUGCGGAGGAACACCGAUGGCGAAGGCAGCCUCCUGGGAUAACACUGACGCUCAUGCACGAAAGCGUGGGGAGCAAACAGG